GAUGAACGCUGGCGGCGUGCCUAAUACAUGCAAGUCGAGCGAACAGACGAGGAGCUUGCUCCUCUGACGUCAGCGGCGGACGGGUGAGUAACACGUGGAUAACCUACCUAUAAGACUGGGAUAACUUCGGGAAACCGGAGCUAAUACCGGAUAAUAUAUUGAACCGCAUGGUUCAAUAGUGAAAGACGGUUUUGCUGUCACUUAUAGAUGGAUCCGCGCCGCAUUAGCUAGUUGGUAAGGUAACGGCUUACCAAGGCGACGAUGCGUAGCCGACCUGAGAGGGUGAUCGGCCACACUGGAACUGAGACACGGUCCAGACUCCUACGGGAGGCAGCAGUAGGGAAUCUUCCGCAAUGGGCGAAAGCCUGACGGAGCAACGCCGCGUGAGUGAUGAAGGUCUUCGGAUCGUAAAACUCUGUUAUUAGGGAAGAACAAAUGUGUAAGUAACUAUGCACGUCUUGACGGUACCUAAUCAGAAAGCCACGGCUAACUACGUG
rnacentral:rRNA from 1 species